GAUUUAAGAAAUUAUUUUUUAUACAAGUUAUAAAAGUUAUUUUUGUAUAGCUCAAUAUUUGCCCGGGCUUGGACCCAAGACAAAUUACCCAAACCCAUUAUAAUUACAAAGCCCAACAUCUAAUAUAAACUAACCCAAACUAAACCUACCUAAUACACAUCAGCCAACCCAUAAUUAAAUUCAAAUUUUAACCCACAACCCAAUUACAAACAAACUUUAACCCAAAACCAUCAAACCCAACAGAUUUAACAAUACUAAACCCAUUAGCCCUACCUGACCCACCAAACAAUACCCAAAACCCUUAGCCCAACUACAACCUAGCCCAAUAACCAAACAAAUCAAGAAACCCUAGCCACCUAUCCACCCUCCCACUUGCGCCGCAACCACUUUCUGACACCACGUCACCAACGUCAGCCCACUGGCACCGGCCACCAACUCUGCAACACCGCUCAACUACCCUGCAAAAGAAACACACGAAAAGACAAAGCAAAAAAGAGAAUUUGUAAAGGCUAUAAAAGCUGAUUUAAAACUUUGUAAAAGGGUUCUCUUUUUUUUUGUCAUUCAUAUAUUAUCAAAAGAGAGACUUAAACAAAAAUAGCAUAGAUCAAAUAAAAACAGAGGAAAAUACCAAAAAACGAACGGAAACGCAAUCGUAAGGUGAUUUUAGAUUUUCUUUUUAGUUUUUUUUUCUAUUUUUUUUUCUAAUCUGUUCUUGUUUCUUUUUUUAUUUUCUUUCGUUUUCUCAUAUACAUAUAUACAUAUUAUUAAAAUAAAUAAAAAAAAUAUAAAAUAUAAAAUUUUUACCUUUCCACGGUGGCCGGCGCCGGCGACGACGAACGGUGGUCGGAGCAAGACCGGCCCAUGGCCGGAAAUCGCCCAGCUCCCUCUCUCUUCUCUCUUUUUUUUU
rnacentral:lncRNA from 1 species